AUGAAGUUGAGUGCACUACAGUUUACUGGGGCUCGCGUGGUGUGCCAAGGGGGAAGCAACACAGAACGAAUUUCUCGCGUGUACAGUCUGCAUAUUAGGAAGAGAUUAAACAGCGAAAAGAAAAAUUCAACAAAGCAGUUGCAGUUCCUGGAAUUUAUCACGUAGGGAGAUUGGUUUGCGUCUUACGGCUAGCGUGCACGAGCUGUCCUCGCAAAAAGGAAGUCGCUGUUUGAUACCAAAUGAAGACUGACAGCGAAAAGGCUUCAGCUACCUGAAUGCACAAUGUGUCUCAUCGGCCGUUUAUAUUACUUCGCCGAAACUUUCUCUCCGAAGAAGUUUGACUAGAGCAGUAAUGCCUUCUUUCAAGACGCAGAAGAUUUUCCUACCAACUACGACAGAAGAACACUUUCAAAAUAACAAUAUGACUGUUACCAACUCACGUCUGUCAGUACAGAUAACAUUUCUUGGAGUUAAAAGUAACUGUGUGAUAAUAGUAAGUUAAUAAUGGUUAUUAUAAUAAUAUGUAUAACCAUGAUGGUAGCGAUUAUUAACUUGAGAAGGUAA